GACGAACGCUGGCGGCGUGCUUAACACAUGCAAGUCGAACGGAAAGGCCCUGCUUGCAGGGUACUCGAGUGGCGAACGGGUGAGUAACACGUGGGUGAUCUGCCCUGCACUUCGGGAUAAGCCUGGGAAACUGGGUCUAAUACCGGAUAGGAGCCAUUUUUAGUGUGAUGGUUGGAAAGUUUUUUCGGUGUAGGAUGAGCUCGCGGCCUAUCAGCUUGUUGGUGGGGUAAUGGCCUACCAAGGCGGCGACGGGUAGCCGGCCUGAGAGGGUGGACGGCCACAUUGGGACUGAGAUACGGCCCAGACUCCUACGGGAGGCAGCAGUGGGGAAUAUUGCACAAUGGGCGCAAGCCUGAUGCAGCGACGCCGCGUGGGGGAUGACGGCCUUCGGGUUGUAAACUCCUUUCGCUAGGGACGAAGCUUUUGUGACGGUACCUAGAUAAGAAGCACCGGCUAACUACGUGCCAGCAGCCGCGGUAAUACGUAGGGUGCGAGCGUUGUCCGGAAUUACUGGGCGUAAAGGGCUCGUAGGUGGUUUGUCGCGUCGUCUGUGAAAUUCCGGGGCUUAACUCCGGGCGUGCAGGCGAUACGGGCAUAACUUGAGUACUGUAGGGGUAACUGGAAUUCCUGGUGUAGCGGUGAAAUGCGCAGAUAUCAGGAGGAACACCGAUGGCGAAGGCAGGUUACUGGGCAGUUACUGACGCUGAGGAGCGAAAGCAUGGGUAGCGAACAGGAUUAGAUACCCUGGUAGUCCAUGCCGUAAACGGUGGGCGCUAGGUGUGAGGGUCUUUUCACGACUUUCGUGCCGUAGCUAACGCAUUAAGCGCCCCGCCUGGGGAGUACGGCCGCAAGGCUA
rnacentral:rRNA from 1 species